UACGUAGGUGGCGAGCGUUGUCCGGAUUUAUUGGGCGUAAAGAGCCCGCAGGCGGCCUGUUAAGUUUCAGGUGAAAUCUCCCGGCUCAACUGGGAGGGGUCCUGGAAAACUGUCAGGCUCGAGGCAGGGAGAAGGAUGCAGAAUUCCCGGUGUAGUGGUGAAAUGCGUAGAUAUCGGGAGGAAUACCAGUGGCGAAGGCGGCAUCCUGGCCCUGUCCUGACGCUCAGGGGCGAAAGCGUGGGGAGCAAACCGG
rnacentral:rRNA from 1 species